rnacentral:rRNA from 1 species
AGAGUUUGAUCCUGGCUCAGAACGAACGCUGGCGGCGUGGCUAAGGCAUGCAAGUCGAACGAACUCCCGGAUGGGUAACUUGAAGGGAAGUUAGUGGCGAACGGGUGAGUAAUGAAUGGGUAACGUACCCCGGACUCAGGGAUAGCGGCGGGAGGCAACUCCCUUUGCGAAAGCGCCGGUAAUACCUGAUGAUCCCGCCUGAACUCAUGUUCGGGCGGGCAAAGUCCCGGCGGUCUGGGAUCGGCCCAUUUCCUAUCAGCUAGUUGGUGAGGUAACGGCCCACCAAGGCUGCGGCGGGUACCGGGUGUGAGAGCAUGACCCGGCACAUCGGGACUGAGACACGGCCCGGACACCUACGGGUGGCUGCAGCAACGAAUAUUCCGCAAUGGGCGAAAGCCUGACGGAGCGACGCCGCGUGCAGGAUGAAGUCUUUCGGGAUGUAAACUGCUGUCGGGGGUCAGAAAUUCUGAUCAGCCCCACAGGAAGCCUCGGCUAACUCCGUGCCAGCAGCCGCGGUAAUACGGAGGAGGCAAGCGUUGUUCGGAAUCACUGGGCUUAAAGCGCGUGUAGGCGGGGUGUAGGGUGUUCAGUGAAAGCCCUCGGCUCAACCGAGGAAUGGCUGGGCAAACCGACACUCUUGAGGCAGGCAGAGGUAACCGGAACCUUUGGUGGAGCGGUGAAAUGCGUAGAGAUCAAAGGGAACGCCGGUGGCGAAAGCGGGUUACUGGGCCUGAACUGACGCUGAGACGCGAAAGCGUGGGUAG